rnacentral:rRNA from 1 species
UACGAAGGGGGCUAGCGUUGCUCGGAUUGACUGGGCGUAAAGGGCGCGUAGGCGGUUCGUACAGUCAGACGUGAAAUUCCUGGGCUCAACCUGGGGGCUGCGUUUGAUACGUGCGGACUUGAGUGCGGAAGAGGGUCGUGGAAUUCCCAGUGUAGAGGUGAAAUUCGUAGAUAUCGGGAGGAACACCAGUGGCGAAGGCGGCGAUCUGGGUCGAUACUGACGCUGAGGUGCGAAAGCGUGGGGAGCAAACAGG